GGCAUUUCUGGGUCAACCUGACGCUGACCUGCGAAAGCUAGGGAGCAACGGAUUAGAUACUCGGUAGUCCUAGCUGUAACGAUGAGCCACUAGAUGUCGGUUCUUUCGGGAUCGGUGUCGUAGUUAACGCGUAAAGUGCUCCACUGGGGACUACGGUCGCAAGGCUAAAACUCAAAGGAAUUGACGGGGACCCGCACAACGGUGGAACAUGUGGUUUAAUUCGAUGCUACGCGAAGAACCCUCACCAGGGUUUGACAUCUAGGCAGUAGUGAACUGAAAGGGAAUCGAUCCGUAAAAUCGGAAACCUAGACAGGUGCUGCAUGGCUGUCGUCAGCUCGUGUCGUGAGAUGUUGGGUUAAGUCCCGCAACGAGCGCAACCAUUGUCCUAUGUUGCCACCUACAUCUUCGGAUGUAGAGCACUCUUAGGAGACUGCCUGGGAUAACCAGGAGGAAGGUGGAGAUGACGUCAAGUCAGUACGGCCCUUAUACCCUGGGCAACACACGUGUUACAAUGCCAUAUACAAAGGGCUGCCAACCCGCGAGGGGGAGCUAAUCUCAAAAAGUAUGGCUCAGUUCGGAUUAGAGUCUGCAAUUCGACUCUAUGAAGCUGGAAUCGCUAGUAAUGGAAGAUCAGCACGCUUCCGUGAAUACGUUCCCGGGUCUUGUACACACCGCCCGUCAAGCGAUGGGAGUUGGGGGCACCCGAAGUCCUGUGUAGGCAGGCCGAAGGUGAAACUGAUGACUGGCGCUAAGUCGUAACAAGGUAAC
rnacentral:rRNA from 1 species